rnacentral:pre_miRNA from 1 species
CCCCCACCCCCCCGUGUCCAGAAUUCCUUCUCGCAGAAAUGGAUGUAUCUAGGCGUAUUUUAGUUCUAGAUACAUCUAUUUUUACCCAUUUAUGCGACAAGUAAUUCGGGACGGAGGGAGUACAAA